CAGGGCCAGACGGCUCCAUGCCUCCGGACCACAGCCCAGUAAGCGACUGCGAGGCUGCUGACCUCGGGAGGGCACCCCCUCUUCCAGCCCUCACCUGGCACUGCUUUCCCACAGCUGGGUGCUGACCGCUCCCCUUCUGACAUCCUCUGAAGAGGUCGGUGCUCUGGAGAGUUCUGACGAGCAGAUGCAGAUCAUGCUGCUGACAUGUGGCGUAAGACAAGUUUGGGGUCGUCCUUGGUGUUUGGCAGGCGGGCCUCUGGGGAUCUCGGAGACCCUUCCAGGGUCCAGAAGGUGAAGAGGUUAGCAAUCCUCACAACACCUCCAAGACAACUGGCGCUUCCUGGCACAGACACUGCACGGCACUGAGGGGCCUACGCCACGCGCAGAGGGCUGUGCCUGAGCCAUGUGGCCAGCAUCCUCCUCCUUGGUGUCACUCCGCAGCUGGUGGAGGCCAGGAGACCCGAGUGCCCGACCACAGUACCAAGGCCUACUCUUCCUGAGCUUCCACCUCCGCGGCUGCUCCUGCAAACGGACUGACAGACAGAAUGGGGUUCCUCAGAUGGGCGGCUGGCAGCCAUCCUCUUGAGAGGGGAUGAGAUGAGCCUGCCUCUCAGGAGCCCUGAGAGCAUCUGAUGCCAAUGACAAAACUCAAGCUUUUGAGAAAAAUCUAGAACUCUGGAAAAUGUAUCUGCCCACGAAUCUGACAGCACCCCGCCCUGAAGCCUCCUCCGAGGAGACCUGUUGUCCUGGCGCAGGUGCCAUGGGCUCUGCAAGGGAGUGUGGCCAUCCAGAGCCUGCCCACCACGCCAGCAUGUCCACAGGACCCUCCCAGAGGGCAUGGGAGGCUCUAGGCAUCGCCCUCUGGGAGCAGAGGCAUAGCUGGGGAGGUUAGCUGCUCCGUCCUGGUCCAGCUCCGUGUAUGGAGGGGGCCGGACCUCACAUCACCUGUCCAGCCAACUACAAAGCUACCGGUCAAACACCACCAUCCCUCUCGUCUUCUCCUUCUGUGUGGAAAAUAAUCACAUCUUACAAGAAGUUGUAAAAACAUAUUUAGAAACAUAAUAGUUUAUUAUUGUUAAGAUGAAUAAAUAA